GAUGAACGCUGGCGGCGUGCCUAAUACAUGCAAGUCGAGCGAACGGACGAGAAGCUUGCUUCUCUGAUGUUAGCGGCGGACGGGUGAGUAACACGUGGAUAACCUACCUAUAAGACUGGGAUAACUUCGGGAAACCGGAGCUAAUACCGGAUAAUAUUUUGAACCGCAUGGUUCAAAAGUGAAAGACGGUCUUGCUGUCACUUAUAGAUGGAUCCGCGCUGCAUUAGCUAGUUGGUAAGGUAACGGCUUACCAAGGCAACGAUGCAUAGCCGACCUGAGAGGGUGAUCGGCCACACUGGAACUGAGACACGGUCCAGACUCCUACGGGAGGCAGCAGUAGGGAAUCUUCCGCAAUGGGCGAAAGCCUGACGAAGCAACGCCGCGUGAGUGAUGAAGGUCUUCGGAUCGUAAAACUCUGUUAUUAGGGAAGAACAUAUGUGUAAGUAACUGUGCACAUCUUGACGGUACCUAAUCAGAAAGCCACGGCUAACUACGUGCCAGCAGCCGCGGUAAUACGUAGGUGGCAAGCGUUAUCCGGAAUUAUUGGGCGUAAAGCGCGCGUAGGCGGUUUUUUAAGUCUGAUGUGAAAGCCCACGGCUCAACCGUGGAGGGUCAUUGGAAACUGGAAAACUUGAGUGCAGAAGAGGAAAGUGGAAUUCCAUGUGUAGCGGUGAAAUGCGCAGAGAUAUGGAGGAACACCAGUGGCGAAGGCGACUUUCUGGUCUGUAACUGACGCUGAUGUGCGAAAGCGUGGGGAUCAAACAGGAUUAGAUACCCUGGUAGUCCACGCCGUAAACGAUGAGUGCUAAGUGUUAGGGGGUUUCCGCCCCUUAGUGCUGCAGCUAACGCAUUAAGCACUCCGCCUGGGGAGUACGACCGCAAGGUUGAAACUCAAAGGAAUUGACGGGGACCCGCACAAGCGGUGGAGCAUGUGGUUUAAUUCGAAGCAACGCGAAGAACCUUACCAAAUCUUGACAUCCUUUGACAACUCUAGAGAUAGAGCCUUCCCCUUCGGGGGACAAAGUGACAGGUGGUGCAUGGUUGUCGUCAGCUCGUGUCGUGAGAUGUUGGGUUAAGUCCCGCAACGAGCGCAACCCUUAAGCUUAGUUGCCAUCAUUAAGUUGGGCACUCUAAGUUGACUGCCGGUGACAAACCGGAGGAAGGUGGGGAUGACGUCAAAUCAUCAUGCCCCUUAUGAUUUGGGCUACACACGUGCUACAAUGGACAAUACAAAGGGCAGCGAAACCGCGAGGUCAAGCAAAUCCCAUAAAGUUGUUCUCAGUUCGGAUUGUAGUCUGCAACUCGACUACAUGAAGCUGGAAUCGCUAGUAAUCGUAGAUCAGCAUGCUACGGUGAAUACGUUCCCGGGUCU
rnacentral:rRNA from 1 species